AGUUCAUCCUCUAUGUUAUUUAUUUGAGUCACUAACAAAUGGGUUUAUGUUGUCUGUGAAGAGGGAGAGAAAAUAUAACCAUACCUGUGUCGUUGCUCUUCAAAUUGGUGCAUUAUCAACGAAUGGAUCACGUCAGGUGUCAAACUUAGUGAUGCUUCAAAAAAAUUGGGGAAAAAGUUUGCUACCGGAGCCUCUGUUGUUAAGGUCAUUACAAUUUAUGUAGUUUUGCAAAGAGAAAUUGUUUACAAGCGCAAACAACUGCCAGAUUUUAUUUGAAGUGUGAAUAUGCCUUUAGAACCAUAUAAUUAUGGCGACGUUAAGGCUGCUCUCAUUGAUAGCAAUUGGGAUAUUGAGGCAGCUCAGAAGGAAUUGAGGAGGAGAGGGAAGGUUUUGGCGUCGAAAAAGUCAUCUCGGAUGGCUGCUGAGGGCUUGCUGGCUCUAGCUCAGAAUGAGAACAAGGCUGCUAUUAUUGAACUUAGCUGUGAGACUGACUUUGUUGCUCGAUAUCUUUCAAUACUUUUCUUUGGAGUUGGAGGCUUUUGCUCUGUUGGGUUUUUUUCCAAUAACUCAAAGGGCCGAAAGAGAAUUUCAAGCUCUCUCUCGUUCUCCAUGGUUGCUGACAGAAACAGAUGCUAAAGGGAAUCAGGACAUCAAAACUUGAUUGAUAAUCUGCAAAUCCACAAGGAUUUUGGCAACAUGGGUCGGUCCAAAUCCGAUUAGGGAGGGCUCUCUUAUCAGAAGGGAGCUGUUUUUCUGUACAUUUGAGAGAACCCAGAAGGUAGGAUUUGAUUAUUGUGGACAAGUUAAUAUGCGUCGCAGCUGCUUUGGUGCUUUGGUUGCUGAGAGGAAAAGGAAAUCUGGUUCUGGUUCUGGUUCUGGUUGAUUUGGUCAUGAUCUUGAUGAGAAUAUGCUGGAAAAUAUCAAGGCUUUCUCCUACAAUGAAUUAAGAUCCGUGACGGAUAAUUUUCAUCCGAGUGAUAAGAUAGGUUGAGGCGGUUUUGGAACUGUAUACGAGGCUAAGAAUUGUGGUAAAAGAGUUUAUUGUGGUUAGCUUAGAGGAAAAUGUGAGAUUAGCAAUUUGAAGAGUACUUUCUCCUCAUUUGUUUGCUUUAACAUGUGUAAGUUGUAAUUAUUAUUUUUCUCUUCAUGGCGUACUUAAAUUUGGAGAUCAGCAUAUAUUUGUUUUUGACAUUUCUUAUUAAAUGUAUUUGAAAACUAACUGAA